UAUUAGACAUUUAAUUGUCUACCUUCUUUGCACAAACACAAUCAUGGUAUUUGUGUGAUACAGUGAUGGUUUUUUUGUUUUCUCAUUUUGUAACGGUUUAUGGUUGGUAAUGGUAGUUUUCAGAUAAUGCACUAGUUACUUACCUGCGCUUCGCCGCGGGUUUAGAUAUAUUAAUAAGGAAUGAAGAUAGUAUAAAUAGAGUUUGUUUUGAGAUACGUAUUUGUGUGUUGCAAGAGAGGCUUAAAUGAGUUACUUAGGCAUCGAUUUAUCAUAUAGUGCUUGUGCUUCAUGUUUUUCGUACAUGAACGAUGAUGUCAAAAUUUAUUUAUAUAAAAUAAAGAUCGGAGAUAGAAAGAAAGGCUUGAAGAGAGGAGAGUUUGGGGAAAGUGAUGGGAGGGUUUAGGCCGCUCCUUAUAAGCCUUCUACAUCGCGUCUGGGACACGUCAGACGCGCAGGAAGCGGAGGAUGCUAGUAGCACCGACGGCGUCUAGCUGCGUCUGGUGUUGCUACUUCUGAUUUCAGACGCAAGAAUGGAGCGGAAGAAGUGUGUGAACUCAAUCAGAAAAUCUUUGUUUGUCGAGGUGUUGGGUGAUGAGGAGACCGGACCCUGUUACGGGUAGGUGUGAAAUGAAUAAUCCUGGCGUAUCCUUUUGGGACGACGUUACUGCAAUGUUCAACACGGAGACCACUCGAGGACCACGAAGCAAGGCUCAACUGCAAGGUCACUGGAGCAGGAAACAGUUUGAGGCAAUUUGCUCGCAGUUGAAUGCACAAGAGAGGGCCGACAAUGAUGAUGAGCAAUAUUAUGCAACAACGCAUCUGAUAUAUCGGGAGAAGCAUGGCAGGGGCUUCAGAUACGAGCACUGCUUCAGACAGCUUAUCUUUGUUCCUUUUUAAUUGUUUUGGAUUAUGAAGUAGACUUUCUAGUUUGAUAAAGUGUGCUUGUGUUUUAGCAGUUUGAAUUGUGUGUUGUCUUUUACAAUUGUAAUGUUUUUAAGUAUUUUAAUAAAAUAAGUCUACUUUAA